UGAAAAGUAUUUAAUUGCCAAAGGAGGAACUCCUAAAAACCUCCCAUCCAUAGAACGUGCUGGAGAGAAUGUGAUGCAGAGAACCACCUUAUUUAGAAGGGUGUCAGAUUUUCAUUCCCUCAGUAACCUUUCCUCCUCAAUUGACUCAAUCACCUUUAUUGGGGGCGGGUUUUAGGAAGUGAGUUGGCUUGCGCUUUGGCAAGGAAAGGGAGGCAAACUGGUCUUGAAGUUAUCCAGAUGUUCCCUGAGAGUGGUAACAUGGGAAAAGUUCUUUCAGAAUAUCUUAGCCACUGGACCACCGAAAAGGUGCGAGGAGAAGGUAUAAAUGUCAUGUCUGAUACUGUUGUUAAACUUGUUAGUAAUUAGAAUGGCAAAUUUAACAUUUCUCUAAAGGAUGGAAGACAGGUGUAGACAGAUCACAUAGUAGCCGCAGUUGGUUUAGAACCCAACACAGAACUGGCAAAAUCUGCCGGCUUAGAACUCAAUGGUGACUUCGGGGGAUACAGGGUUAAUGCGGAACUCCAGGCUCGCAACAAUGUGUGGGUGGCAGGAGAUGCAGCUUGUUUCUAUGAUAUUAAACUUGGCCACAGGCGAGUUGAGCACCAUGAUCAUGCGGUUGUAAGUGGAAGACUUGCUGGGGAGAAUAUGACCAGAGCUGCUAACCCUUAUUGGCAUCAAUCUAUGUUCUGGAGUGAUCUUGGUCCUGAUGUUGGCUAUGAAGCCCUUGGUAUUGUUGACAGUUCACUGCCAACUGUUGGUGUGUUUACCCGGGCCACAGAGAAGGAUACACCAAAAAGUGCAGCUGAAUUAAGUGGCACAGGCAUCCGUUCUGAGAGUGAUACCAGGGAAAUAAUUCAGACAGAAAAUACUGCCUCUCCUGUCUUACCUCAAUCAUUUCCUCCUUCCACGCAGCAGAGGGAAACCUAUGGAAAAGGAGUGGUGUUUUACAUGUGUUACAACAUAGUAGUGGGGAUUUUGCUGUGGAAUAUCUUUAAUCGAAUACCUAUUGCACGCAAAAUAAUUAAGGAUGGUGAGGAGCAUUCUGUCCUC